AGUUGGUUAGAGCGCUACCUUGACAUGGUAGAGGUCACAGAUUCGAGUUCUGUAUCGACCA
rnacentral:tRNA from 1 species